rnacentral:rRNA from 1 species
AGCGAACGCUGGCGGCAGGCCUAACACAUGCAGGUCGAACGGACCCUUCGGGGUUAGUGGCGGACGGGUGAGUAACACGUGGGAACGUGCCUUUAGGUUCGGAAUAGCUCCUGGAAACGGGUGGUAAUGCCGAAUGUGCCCUUCGGGGGAAAGAUUUAUCGCCUUUAGAGCGGCCCGCGUCUGAUUAGCUAGUUGGUGAGGUAAAGGCUCACCAAGGCGACGAUCAGUCGCUGGUCUGAGAGGAUGACCAGCCACAUUGGGACUGAGACACGGCCCAAACUCCUACGGGAGGCAGCAGUGGGGAAUCUUGCGCAAUGGGCGAAAGCCUGACGCAGCCAUGCCGCGUGAAUGAUGAAGGUCUUAGGAUUGUAAAAUUCUUUCACCGGGGACGAUAAUGACGGUACCCGGAGAAGAAGCCCCGGCUAACUUCGUGCCAGCCGCCGCCGUAAGAC